CCUACGGGAGGCAGCAGUGAGGAAUAUUGGUCAAUGGGCGGAAGCCUGAACCAGCCAAGUCGCGUGAGGGAAUAAGGUCCUACGGGUCGUAAACCUCUUUUGUCGGGGAGCAAGGGCCGGGACGCGUCCCGGCCUGACGAGUACCCGGAGAAAAAGCAUCGGCAAACUCCGUGCCAGCAGCCGCGGUAAUACGGAGGAUGCGAGCGUUAUCCGGAUUUAUUGGGUUUAAGGGGUGCGUAGGCGGGCUUUUACGUCAGCGUUAAAAGUUCGGGGCUCAACCCCGUCCGGCCGUUGAAACUGGAGGCCUUGAGUGGGCGAGAAGUAGGCGGAAUGCGUGGUGUAGCGGUGAAAUGCAUAGAUAUCACGCAGAACCCCGAUUGCGAAGGCAGCCUUCCGGCGCCCUACUGACGCUGAGGCACGAAAGGGCGGGGAUCGAACAGGAUUAGAUACCCGAGUAGUC
rnacentral:rRNA from 1 species